GGUGAACGCUGGCGGCGUGCCUAAUACAUGCAAGUCGAACGAAGAUCUAGCUUGCUAGAUCUUAGUGGCGAACGGGUGAGUAAUACAUAAAUAAUCUGCCCAUAUGACUGGGAUAACUAUUGGAAACGAUAGCUAAUACCGGAUAGGUUGAUUGGAGGCAUCUCUGAUUAAUUAAAGUAGGAUUUCUACACAAAUGGAUGAGUUUAUGGCGCAUUAGUUAGUUGGUGGGGUAACGGCCUACCAAGACGAUGAUGCGUAGCCGACCUGAGAGGGUGACCGGCCACACUGGGACUGAGACACGGCCCAGCCUCCUACGGGAGGCAGCAGUAGGGAAUUUUCGGCAAUGGGCGCAAGCCUGACCGAGCAACGCCGCGUGAGUGAUUAAGGCCUUCGGGUUGUAAAGCUCUGUUGUAAGGGAAGAACAUUCAGGAUAGGAAAUGAUCUUGAACUGACGGUACCUUACCAGAAAGCCACGGCUAACUACGUGCCAGCCGCCGCCGUAAGAC
rnacentral:rRNA from 1 species